AUUUAAGCAUAUAAGUAAGCGGAGGACAAGAAACUAAACAGGAUUUCCUCAGUAAUGGCGAAUGAACAGGGAUGAGCUCAACAUUGGAAUUGGGGCCUCUGGCCUUGAGUUGUAAUUUCAAGAUGUGUUGCCAACGAGGGCGCAGAUGCAAUCCUGUUGGAAAGCAGAAUCAGCGAGGGUGAGAAUCCCGUCUGACAUUUGCAGUCCUUCGUGUACGGCGCAUGUUCUAAGAGUCACGCUCCUCGGAAUUGGAGCGCAAACUGGGUGGUAAAUUUCAUCUCAAGCUAAAUAUGGGUUCGAAACCGAUAGCAAACAAGUACCAUGAGGGAAAGAUGAAAAGGACUUUGAAAAGAGAGUUAAAAGUGUUUGAAAUUGCUGAAAGGAAAGCGGAUGGAACCAGUGCUGCUUGAUGAGAUUGUUGCAUACUGCGUGGAUGGGCUGUAAGUGUAGCGUAAGUGCGCUUGCGGUUUCUGAAGUUCGGUGUGUGGUGCUUCUUGUCUUGAGUGUCACCUGCGGUUUGUGAGUGCGGAUAACGUUCGGAACCUGGUAGCCCGGCUCCGGCUGGUCGAAUGUUCCAUUCUGAACUCACUCGCAGACCGUUCUCGCUUCUGCAAGGUAUGGUUGUGGCGGGCUGUGGUGCUCUGCUCCAUGUUGUCUCUGCGACGCCUCCCUAGCAUUCGCUUGGUGACAGAAUGGUUUUAUUCGACCCGUCUUGAAACACGGACCAAGGAGUCUAACAUAUGUGCGAGUUCAUGGGUGUCGAAACCUGCGAGCGCAAUGAAAGUGAGUACUGAGAUGCUAGCAUCAGCAGCCGACCGAUGGAUUGGCAGAGGUUUGAGCAUGAGCAUAUCUGUUAGGACCCGAAAGAUGGUGAACUAUGCCUGAGAAGGGCGAAGUCUGGGGAAACUCAGAUGGAGGCUCGUAGCGAUACUGACGUGCAAAUCGUUCGUCAUACUUGGGUAUAGGGGCGAAAGACUAAUCGAACCAUCUAGUAGCUGGUUCCCUCCGAAGUUUCCCUCAGGAUAGCUGGAGUUGAACAGUUUUAUCAGGUAAAGCGAAUGAUUAGAGGAAUCGGGAGCGUGUUGUUCUCGACCUAUUCUCAAACUUUAAAUGGGUAAGCUCCAGUUGUUACUUAAUUGAACUUCUGGGAUAAAUUGCAACUCUAAGUGGGCCAUUUUUGGUAAGCAGAACUGGCGAUGAGGGAUGAACCUAACGUUGGGAUAAGGUGCUUAACUGCUCGCUCAUCAGAUACCAUAAAGGGUGUUGGUUCAUUUUAACAGCAGGACGGUGGUCAUGGAAGUCGAAAUCCGCUAAGGAGUGUGUAACAACUCACCUGCCGAAUGGACUAGCCCCGAAAAUGGAUGGCGCUUAAGCGGGUGACCGAUACCCAACCAUUGUUGCAAUUGUGUUGCAUCAAUGAGUAGGAGGGUGUGGGAGCUUGUGAUGAAGCUUUUGGCGUAAGCCUGG
rnacentral:rRNA from 1 species